rnacentral:rRNA from 1 species
GAUGAACGCUGGCGGCGUGCCUAAUACAUGCAAGUCGAGCGAACGGACGAGAAGCUUGCUUUUCUGAUGUUAGCGGCGGACGGGUGAGUAACACGUGGAUAACCUACCUAUAAGACUGUGAUAACUUCGGGAAACCGGAGCUAAUACCGGAUAAUAUUUUGAACCGCAUGGUUCAAAAGUGAAAGACGGUCUUGCUGUCACUUAUAGAUGGAUCCGCGCUGCAUUAGCUAGUUGGUAGGGUAACGGCUUACCAAGGCAACGAUGCAUAGCCGACCUGAGAGGGUGAUCGGCCACACUGGAACUGAGACACGGUCCAGACUCCUACGGGAGGCAGCAGUAGGGAAUCUUCCGCAAUGGGCGAAAGCCUGACGGAGCAACGCCGCGUGAGUGAUGAAGGUCUUCGGAUCGUAAAACUCUGUUAUUAGGGAAGAACAUAUGUGUAAGUAACUGUGCACAUCUUGACGGUACCUAAUCAGAAAGCCACGGCUAACUACGUG